rnacentral:rRNA from 1 species
CCUACGGGAGGCAGCAGUGGGGAAUAUUGCACAAUGGGGGAAACCCUGAUGCAGCGACGCCGCGUGGGCGAAGAAGUAUUUCGGUAUGUAAAGCCCUAUCAGCAGGGGAGAAGAAAUGACGGUACCUGAGUAAGAAGCACCGGCUAAAUACGUGCCAGCAGCCGCGGUAAUACGUAUGGUGCAAGCGUUAUCCGGAUUUACUGGGUGUAAAGGGAGCGCAGGCGGCACGGCAAGCCUGAUGUGAAAGCCCGGGGCCUAACCGCGGGACUGCAGUGGGAACUACCGGGCUGGAGUGCCGGAGAGGUAGGCGGAAUUCCUGGUGUAGCGGUGAAAUGCGUAGAUAUUAGGAGGAACACCAGUGGCGAAGGCGGCCUACUGGACGGUGACUGACGCUGAGGCUCGAAAGCGUGGGGAGCAAACAGGAUUAGAUACCCGAGUAGUC